rnacentral:rRNA from 1 species
AAUGAACGCUGGCGGCGUGCGUAACACAUGCAAGUCGAACGUGAAAGUCCCCUUCGGGGGAUGAGUAAAGUGGCAAACGGGUGAGUAACACGUGGGUAACCUGCCCUCUGGUGGGGGAUAACCCUGCGAAAGCGGGGCUAAUACCGCAUAACAAGUCGCUAAAUAAUUAGUCGACUUCAAAGCCUUCGGGCGCUAGAGGAGGGGCCCGCGUCCCAUUAGCUAGUUGGUAGGGUAACGGCCUACCAAGGCUGCGAUGGGUAGCCGGCCUGAGAGGGUGUCCGGCCACACUGGAACUGAGACACGGUCCAGACUCCUACGGGAGGCAGCAGUGGGGGAUUUUGCGCAAUGGGCGAAAGCCUGACGCAGCGACGCCGCGUGGGUGAUGAAGUUCUUCGGAACGUAAAGCCCUGUCAGGAGGGACGAAGCUCUGACGGUACCUCCAAAGGAAGCCCCGGCUAACUCCGUG